GGUACUGUAGCUCAGUGGCAGAGCACUUGCCUUGUAUGUGUAAGGCACUGAGUUUGAUCCUCAGCACCA
rnacentral:tRNA from 1 species